CUGAUUAAGUCGGAUGUGAAAUCCCUGAGCUUAACUUAGGAAUUGCAUUCGAUACUGGUCAGCUAGAGUAUGGGAGAGGAUGGUAGAAUUCCAGGUGUAGCGGUGAAAUGCGUAGAGAUCUGGAGGAAUACCGAUGGCGAAGGCAGCCAUCUGGCCUAAUACUGACGCUGAGGUACGAAAGCAUGGGGAGCAAACAGGAUUAGAUACCCUGGUAGUCCAUGCCGUAAACGAUGUCUACUAGCCGUUGGGGCCUUUGAGGCUUUAGUGGCGCAGCUAACGCGAUAAGUAGACCGCCUGGGGAGUACGGUCGCAAGACUAAAACUCAAAUGAAUUGACGGGGGCCCGCACAAGCGGUGGAGCAUGUGGUUUAAUUCGAUGCAACGCGAAGAACCUUACCUGGCCUUGACAUAGUAAGAACUUUCCAGAGAUGGAUUGGUGCCUUCGGGAACUUACAUACAGGUGC
rnacentral:rRNA from 1 species